rnacentral:snoRNA from 1 species
AUUCCGUGAUGAGGGCACUUUCAUAAUAAUUCUUUGUACCUUUCCUAUGCUUAAUACAAGGACUCAUCAUCCAUUUGUUGGAAGGUAGUGAUCUCAUUUUACAACU